CUCCUUCCCUUCUGGCGGCUCCCUCACUGAGACCGGGCGGUUUGGUUGCGGGGGAAGUGGAGACGAGCCACCCUUGACCUUUGACUGCAAGAACUCACCUUGAGCAGGAUAGAGGCACGUGGACGGUGACCCUCGGGAUGCAAUAAAUGCUGAGACAGAUCAGGUGUGCAAGGCACAGAGCUAGAGGCCAGAGGCCUUUCUUCUCCAACCUUCAGUCACCUCUUUUUAAAGUGAAGCCAGCAUCCUCCUCGGGGUUUACUGUGAAAAUUAAGUGAGCUGACGCGUGCUGUGUUUUGAUGUUGCUUGGCUCCUACAAACAUUGAGUGGGCCAGACACUGUUCUGAAAAAUACGCAGUCGACUUUUGAACAGCACAGGCUUGAACUGCAUGCGGCCACUAAUACUCGGACUUCCUUCUGCCUCUGCCAUCCCUAAGACAGCAAGACCCACCCCUCCUGCUCCUCAGCCUACUCGAUGUGAUGAUGCCUCCGCAUUCCUUUCCCAGAAGGCUUCCAGUGUUCCAAGUUUCUCAUUUCCAUCCAAUCAUUUUCCCCUGUAUGUAUGUGUGUUUAUAUAGCUAUAUCUACAUCUAUAUAAUACAUAUAUGUAUGUGUGUACAUAAGUGCAUGUAUGUAAGUGUAUAUAUUGGUGAUAAUAAUCACAUAACUACAUGCGCAAUUUUGCCGCUUUUUCCUUUUCUUCACUUCUUAUCAAACACAUUCUCAUGUCAUUAAAAUACCUUUGUAAACACCAACUUCCAUGACAGCUGCACAUUCUGUUGUUUGUGAUAUCGUUGAUUUUCCCCUCUCUGUUUCUGAGGGCUCCUUCAUAAACCACCUGUGGGUUCCCAUCGUGUUCCUGCGUUCCCUCCUCCCUGGCUCCACGCUCCUUCAACAUCUCUCCCUUCAAGCAGAUGAGUCACUUCUUCCAUAGCUUACAAAUUGGUCUGGGCACUUUGUUCCUGGAGAAUCACAGAAUUUCACGUCCACAGAUUCUUUCAUCUUGAGGAACUCAAAGGCCUUUUUAAAGAUGGAGACAGCUCCCCGGAGACUUACCUUGCCUGGGACCCUCGUCUUUAUUCAUCCCUAGUGCUUCCAUCAAGUGAGCAGGUGUAUAACAUAGACAGCCCCAUUUAUGGAUGGAAACACCAAGGCCCAGAGUGACUGUUUGCUUUUCCCGAGAAGUGGACUGUUGCUUUCCAGUUGGCUGAUGCCCGCGUCUGCUAGGCUUUCAUUAAGGAUCACACCACCGUCUUUGCUUUUCCUUUCAGUCUAAACAAAGCCUAAAAUAAAGUGCCUCCGAACACUGCAUUCUUUCUAACGAUUUCAAGAGGGCAGCCCAAACAACCUCUAGAGAGGCAGCUCCCUGGUUCGUUGCAAUGUGAGCUCUCCCACUGCCUCCGAUGUCUGCUUCCCUGUCUCCCCAUUUCUCAUCCCCACUCCUGCUGUCGUCCAGCUGUCUCCUCUCCCUGGAGUCGUUUCUCCUUUUUCCCUGACUAAAUUCUUAACCUCUGAGACUCCUCUCCCAGGUCGCUUCCUCUGGAGGCCUUUUAUCCUCUCCGAGUUGGAGUUCAGGGCCUCUCCCUUGGUUGGCUCUGCCCGUACUCAAUCCUCCUGUCUGUGCUCACAUCUCCACCAGGGUCGGCAAAGACUGUGAAAACAGGAGGAGAAAUGUCCUGCUCGUGUCUAUACUCCCGUUGCCUAGCACGGUGCCUGGGGGAUGCUAAGCACACGAGUGUGUCCGAAUGAAGCCCCUCAGUCACAGCUAUCUACCAUGUGGAUUUUUGUGACAUAAAAUGAAAAAAGAGACGAGGGGAGAUAGGAACUUUAGGAGAGGAGAAGGCAAGAUUAAAUCAAAUUGCGACAAUUAUCCAUACACAAGACAUCGGGCUGACUCCACCUUCUGGACCCCCGUGCCAGUUACCGUCCUCAUUUUAAAAGGGUACUUGGAGCCAGACGCAGUGGCUCACACCUGCAGUCCCAGCACUUUGGAAGGCUGAGGAGGUCAGAUCAAUUGAGCCCAGAGUUCAAGACCAGUCUGGGCAACAUAGCAAGACCUCAGCUCUACAAAAAAUAAAAAUAAAAUAAUUAGCCAAGCAUGGUGGUGUGCACCUGUAGUCUCAACUACUUGUGAGGCUGAGGUGGGAGGAUCACUUGAGCCUUGGAGUUUGAGGCUGCAGUGAGCCAAGAUCACACCACUGCACUCCAGCCUUGGCAAGAGAGUGAGACCCUGUCUCAAAACAAACAAACAAAACAGAAGAGAAUUUGACAUGCAGUUUAUCUAUCCAUGUCAUAUGCAUUGAUCCCAGUGAAGCAGUCCUCCUCCAUUCUCCAGCCUGGCCGCCUCUGGGCACCCUUUUCCAGGUGGUGCCACUGGGACACCAUGACCAUGUGAAGCUGUGCGCAGACAGCCAGAGGCCUCCCCCUGGAGCACCAGACUCCAUUGCCUCUUGCUCUCGGGCUUUCCUCACUCAGGUGUUCACCAAGUAUUGCAGAGAGCUUCCGAAGAUGACCUCAAUGAUUUCCUCCUCCUGGUAGUCACACCGUUGUGUAAGCCCCUGCCCUUGACUGUGGGCUGGACCUAGUGAAUCAUUUCUAACCAUAGAAUAUGGCAAAAAUGAUGGGAUGUCACUUCUGUGGUUAGGUUCGAAAAAGGCCAUGGUUUCUGUCUUGCUAGCAGAUUCUUUCUAUUGACUUCUUGGCUUGCAUCCUUUGAUGAAACCAGCAGGAGGCCCAUGUGGCAAGAAACUGAAGGUGACUUUCAGCCAAAAAUCAGUGAGGAACCGGAGCCCCCAUUCAGCAGCCACAUGAAACUGAACGCUGCCAACAGCCACUGAGUGAGUGGACCCUUCCCCCUUAGAGUCUUCCCAUGACAUCACAGCCCCUGGACUGACACAGCUUGAUGGCAUCAGCCAGAGACCGUGAAGCAGAGCACCCAGAUAAGCUGUGCUUGGACUUCUGACCCACAGAAACCACGAGAUAAUAACUGUUGUUUCAAGCCACUAAGUUUUGGGCCUGGAAUGUAAUCAUGGAUAGCCAUGGAUGAUCAGCUUUCAUCAUGUGGGCAUGGAACAAGAUGGAAGGAAGCUGGGGCCCUGAGUGACCUGUGGAGCAGAGGCCUUUGCCCACCCUGGGCUGCCUGAUUUCCCCUGGACUAUCAUGAGACAGAAGAAAAAGCUUCUAUCUUAUUUGAACCACUGUGUUUUGGGAACCUUGGACUAGAGCAGCCUAGCCUUCAUACACUAACAAGGUGUAUGUGUCUGCUCUUUGUUGCUUUUGUAGAUGGUUGUGUUAUAAGCCUGAAUGCAGAAGUUGUUCCCCAGACUACUGGAUUUGCUGCCUUUUAAAACAGGUUUAUUGAACUAUAAUUGACAUACAAUGAACUGCAUAUAGGUAAAGUGUACAAUUUGAUAAGUACACUUUUUGAGCAAAUCCACCCUUUGUUCUGGAAGAAGACACUCUAUAGUCUCAGGCUGUUUCUUUACCAACAUCAACAAGCUAGUCUUAAACAGAGGAACCUCAGUGCCUCACUUUCAAGACAAUCAAGAUUAUUUCCCAACAUUCCACUAGUAGAGGGUCAGAAACAGAGUUAAAAGUUCUCAGACUAGAGGUAGAAUUGAAACCCCAGCUGAGAAGUAUCAAGGUGCCCUCCUUCCCCAAAGCUACAUAUUCUUGUGUCAGGAUCUUACCAGGAAAUGGAAGGCACAUUUACACAGGGCAGCCCAAGAGACUGUUUCAAAGGAAACCAGCAAGAUGUGACAAAGCACCCCAAGACUAGCGACACUGGGAGACCUUCUCACUUGACUUAAAAGGCUGGGGCAGGAGAGUUACAGGACCCAGUAUUAGCUGUAGCCAAAGCCUGGGCAGGGCCACCUAACAUGAGCUGCACCCUUCUGUAGAGCAGCACAGACCUUGUGCAUCUGAGGCCCAGCAGGAUGGGGCCUUGCUCAUCCUUCCCUUGCAGUUCUUGCUAAUGCUUCCUGUUGCCUGAACCCAGCUGGAAGCCAGAGGGCAAGGGAAAUCAAUUGAGACAGAUAAUGGAGGUAAUCCCCUGGGCACAGGGCAGCAUGGCAGAGGUAAGGAGUCUGUCUAGAGCCACAAAGGAAGAGGACUGAGUCCAGAGGUGAAAGCAGUCACGUAUCCCCAAAGACACCUGCUACACAUUUGGGCUUUGAUUUAUCAAUGAGAAGGCUUGAGGGACAGUGGGAAAAAUGAUGAGGAGUCAUUAGGUCCUUGUGGAAAUGGUGCCCUUGAAGGAUGAGCCUGUAAUCACUAGGUACACGUGGGUGGAUGAAUGCUGGUGAAACAGGUGGAGGGAAUGAAAGGACAGAGGCAGCACGAGAACACUGUAAGCAGAGCAGAAGUCCAUGCAAAAGCCAGAGAUGUGAGACAGCACGGGUACAUAUAGGGACCCGCAGGUGGUCUGGAGUGGCUUUGCUGUGGGUUGUGAUGAGAUAUCCACUGUGUUGGAGCUCUGGAACAAAAAGGAGGUCAUCUAAGCUGGUUGCUUCUGUUUUUUUCUUUUCUUUUUUUUCCGGAUGCAUUUCAAUUAGGUGAGGGGUACCAGGCAGAAACCCCUCCUGAAUAUAAACCCUCUGUCUUAUUGUACCAGUUAAAGAUGAACGAUGGCUCACUUCCUAUUGGGUACUAAGUUCAUUAUUUGGGUGACAGGAUCAAUAGAAGCCCAAACCUCAGCAUCAUGCAAUAUACCCAUGUGACAAACCUGUAUCCCCUAAAUCUAAAAUAAUAAUAAAAAAAGAUGUACCAUAGCUCUUAAUUGCUCUUCAAAUCACCCACACCAUUAGAGAAAGCUAUUUCCACCCCAAUCUGAAUUAAAGAAUUCUACAAUCUCCUACAGUCCGAAAGAGAGACUUCAGCUAAAGAGAAAGCUGGUGCUCCUCUUGCUAGCUGAGUGAAUUCUGAUCCUCUUUUUCAUUUUUAUUUUCUUGCUUGAACUCUGCUUUGUUAAAUCAAACACCAGCCCAAAACUGAGCCCAUGGAUCACCAUAUUGGCAGCCUUAUCCUAGAAUCUCAGGGCUGGAAAGAACUCCGAGUACAGCAUUCUCCAGUGUUGGGUGUCAACAGGAGCAGAGUUGGUCUCUUUCGAGAGCUUCCUGGAGAGUCUAUAAAAGCCUGGCUUUUGAACUCUUAUAUUUGGAGGCUGAGAUUCAGAAGGCCUGGGGUGGGGCUUGAGAAUAUAAAUUCUUUAAAAAAAUUUUUUUCUUUUCCUUAGAUAAAUCUUAGAAACCAAAGGGAAUUGAAUUCUUAAGAGGACUUGAAAAUGAUUCUAAUAUAGUCGGGUUAGGGGAAAUCUGGUCUUGAGCUUUUUCUUGGGAGAUGUGGUGAGUCCAAGGCAAGCCAGGCUUCAAUUCUGAAUCUACACUCUUCCCACACAUCUAUGUGGCCUCUGUGCCGAGUCUGAGUUUUAUGUUUUACAAAGAAAACUAGGAGAAAAACUGUUAUUCUUCUGAUUAACAGAAAAGUUGUCCAACUGGCUACACUUGAAUUAUAUCCCCUGAUUAUUAAACUCAGGCUUCUUUAGUUUUCAUUUAUUUUAUUUCAUUGCAUGGAGAUGUUUUAAAAGAGGAAGGCAAGGGGUGUGGGGGAAGGAUUCUGGGAUAGCGACCAUUCUCACCACAUGCAGAAGGCCAAUACUGCUUCCAGAAGGAGACACAAGGAAUCCUUCACUGAGUGAAAGUUUUUUUUCUUCCAGAGAAUAUCAGUAUUCCUACUUUAUAACAAGCCAGGAGCUUUUUCUGCUUCCUGAUUUAAAAAUUGAUUCCUGACUGCAUAGUUCUCACACAAUAGCUUCCUUCUUGCAGGGGCAGUGUGAUUGCCUGGAAUAUAAAUUCUUAGUGGGUUGACCAGGGAUCACGAGCAGUUAUUAUGUUCUCUGCUGCUCUUAACAUGUUGUGAUUCUCAAUAAAUAAUCCAGAGCCAAAGCAUGGUGUUUUGUUUUGCUUUGUCUCAGUGAGUUUUCCAAACUGUAUUUACUAUCUCAAAGUGAGAGCAUCGCAGUUUUCUGAGCCAACUGCAGCAAUUUUCCAGAUCUGGAGAGUAUUUUUGAAGAUUAUUUCUUUGGAGAUUUUCUCUCUUAUUUGGUUUGUUUCCUCUUUGAUAAUUUUUAUUAUUCAUAUGUUGAAUUUUUUGAGCAGAGCUUUAAUUUUCUUAUCUUUUCUCCUCCUUUUUUCCAUUUUUUUCUUUGCCACUUUUCUCCCCCUUCUGGGAUAUUUUCUCAAAUUUUUUCUUCUAAACUUUUAUCUUUUCUGUGAUUAUAAUUUUAAAUUCCAAAAUACCUUUUUUUGGAGAGGGGAGUGGAGGGAAGUGUUCUCUGACUGUUCCUUUUAUAUAGUAGCCUGUUCUUAUUUCAUGGAUGUAAUAUCUUUCCUCUUUCUUUUAUAGUCUGUUUUCCCCAAGUUACUUUUUUCCCUUGUUUGUUUAUUUGUGUCUCUGUAUUUCAUCUCGGAGCAUUCCUUAGGUGUUUGGUGAUUUCCUCCUUCUCCCUCUCUCUGCUCCCUGCAUUGUUAUAAUUAUCUCUGAGCUGACCUCCCAACUUAGGUCUUUCUCAUUUUCUAGUAAACUUGGCAUAAUCCUGUGAAACCCAUCUUUUUUAAGCCCCCAAUUCAACAUGUGAUUCUGUUGGUGAAAAGCCUUCCAUGGCUCCAUAUUUCCCACUUCAUCAGAACUUAACUUUGCCAUUUUUGACAUUUUCAGUCUCUGACCCCACUCAGGCUAGGCACCAUACCUCUUGCCUCAGAAUGUGGAUACUCUUGUGUGUUCAGAGUUGGAGAUUAGGAAAUAAUACUAUUAAAAGUAAUAGCAAUCGAUGAUAAAGCCUUCAUAUGCUUUAUUCACAGACAUUACUGACUUCUCCUGUUAGCUCUGUCGUGCUUACAUCAUGAUGCCCAUUUUUCAGGUAAAGAAAUAGUGGCUCAAACAAGGUGAGUGGCCAAAGAUAACAUAGCUCAUAUGUAGCAAAGCAGGGACUUUGAUCUGGGUCUCAGCACUUUGUCCACCAUGGUGUCCACUGGUUGACUCAGGUGAUUCACCUGGGUAACAAGGCUUCCUGAAGGCCACCUGCUGGUAAAUGUCAUUGCCAGUUCAUUGACCGGGAGCCCCCAUGUGUUUCUACCAAGACCCCGCUCCUCUCUUCGCAUACAGUAAUCUGUUGUAUACACUUUGUACCUCACCCACAAGCGUGUGAAAAGCCUUAGCUGUUCUGGUGCCAGGACUAAUGGGAGCUGCUUACAGUCUAUGAGGACAAUCAGACUUGGCCGCCUGCCUUCUUUCCAUAUAAUUUUUAAUAAGCCAGUAAUAUCUCUCCAAGCACUACAGACCUCUGGCUUGGACCAGGAAACCUGGAACUGUUUAAGAGAACAUUAAUUUCCUUUGAGCUAGGAUUACAGGCCAUCUAAAACUUCUUAAUGAAUGGCCACACUGCCUUUUUGAAGCAUUUGUGUAUUUGCCAACACAGACUCGAAGGUUGCAUUAGAUAUUGGGAGUUGUCUUUUCUGGAAGUUAGGGUCUUCUAGAAGCUGACGGGCGAUGGAGGCCUGAUGCUCUGCCAUUUCUUUGGUGAGACC
ensembl:lncRNA STX18-AS1 STX18 antisense RNA 1 (head to head)